GGAUGUGAGGGCAUUCUGGUUGUGUCAUCUGUCACCCCACUGAUCAGCAGGAUUGAUUCGGUUUAUCUGGCUGGCUAGUGGGGGUGUCCCCUUCCUCCCUUAACACUCCAUGUGUGUCCCUCUCGAAGCUGCAUGCUCAGUCAAAGAAGACGGCCUUCCCAUAUUCCCCGAACAGAGAUAGACUAGUCUUUGGUAGAGGGUAGCUGCGCUCCCCUGCUAGAACCUCCAAACAAGCUCUUGAGACUUUAAGUUAAUAGGAGUAUAUAUUAACACCAUUCCUGCCACCAUAUCUCUGAAAUUCUUUGGUCAGACUGUGAUAUUG
rfam:Erinaceus europaeus unplaced genomic scaffold scaffold01733, whole genome shotgun sequence